rnacentral:rRNA from 1 species
AGUGAACGCUGGCGGUAGGCCUAACACAUGCAAGUCGAACGGCAGCACAGUAAGAGCUUGCUCUUACGGGUGGCGAGUGGCGGACGGGUGAGGAAUACAUCGGAAUCUACUUUUUCGUGGGGGAUAACGUAGGGAAAAUUACGCUAAUACCGCAUACGACCUACGGGUGAAAGCAGGGGAUCUUCGGACCUUGCGCGAUUGAAUGAGCCGAUGUCGGAUUAGCUAGUUGGCGGGGUAAAGGCACACCAAGGCGACGAUCCGUAGCUGGUCUGAGAGGAUGAUCAGCCACACUGGAACUGAGACACGGUCCAGACUCCUACGGGAGGCAGCAGUGGGGAAUAUUGGACAAUGGGCGCAAGCCUGAUCCAGCCAUACCGCGUGGGUGAAGAAGGCCUUCGGGUUGUAAAGCCCUUUUGUUGGGAAAGAAAAGCAGCAGGUUAAUACCCCGCUGUUCUGACGGUACCCAAAGAAUAAGCACCGGCUAACUUCGUG